rnacentral:rRNA from 2 species
UUAAGUGAAUAAGGGCGCACGGUGGAUGCC